rnacentral:misc_RNA from 1 species
CAAUAAGUAGUGUUUAUGGCACUUUCAAAUCCAUACCCACCUUGUGUGCAAUGUAUAAGAGUCCUUUUCCAACUCGGAUUGGACUUGAUUUUUCUCUCACACGUCUUCAAUUGCAAGUCUAAGCUUUCAGAGUAAUCAAAAAAACUCGAAUA